ACACUGCUGAGUAGUCCCACGAUAGGACGAAACGGCCGUCAAGUGU
rfam:Schistosoma haematobium scaffold852_12, whole genome shotgun sequence.